rnacentral:rRNA from 1 species
GCAUAUCAAUAAGCGGAGGAAAAGAAACCAACCGGGAUUGCCUCAGUAACGGCGAGUGAAGCGGCAAGAGCUCAGAUUUGAAAUCUGCUACCUUUGGUAGCCGAGUUGUAGCGUGUAGAGUGCUGUCCCGGAUGUACGGCGCUGCCUAGGUUCCCUGGAAGGGGACGCCGGAGAGGGUGAGAGCCCCGUGAGGCGGUGGUCAGUGGCAUCCGUGUGGGAAGGCGCUCGAGGAGUCGAGUUGUUUGGGAAUGCAGCUCCAAGUGGGUGGUAAACUCCAUCUAAAGCUAAAUACAGGCGAGAGACCGAUAGCGAACAAGUACAGUGAUGGAAAGAUGAAAAGCACUUUGAAAAGAGAGUGAAACAGCACGUGAAAUUGUUGAAAGGGAAGGGCAGCUGCUCAGACAUGGCAGGUUGCGUCCCCUGCUCCUUGUGGGCGGGGGGCCCACGCGGCGUGCUGGGCCAGCAUCAGUUUUGGCGGCAGGAGAAACGUGCGGGAAUGUAGCCGCGCCCCUGUGGGCGUGGUGUUAUAGCCUGCUGGGAAUACUUGCCAGCCGGGACUGAGGGAAGCGACACUUGUUGUCACGGAUGCUGGCAUAAUGGGUAGGUGCCGCCCGUCUUGAAACACGGACC